rnacentral:misc_RNA from 1 species
ACAAGAAAGGCUUUGACGGUACAGUUAUUUAAGUGACAAAAAAUGUGACAGAGGACCUGAAGAAGACAAACAAACAAUUGUUAGCAAUGUAAUAUAUUCAUCUUUUAUCUCUUUCUGCUUCUUUUCUUAUGAUUUAUUUAUAGCAAACUGUGCUUCCUCCCUCCCCCCAAGAUCUUGAAGUGAAAACGUGCAUUUAUGAACAAAAUUACCCUUCUCAUUGUA